rnacentral:rRNA from 1 species
AUUGAACGCUGGCGGCAUGCCUUACACAUGCAAGUCGAACGGCAGCGCGGGAGCAAUCCUGGCGGCGAGUGGCGAACGGGUGAGUAAUAUAUCGGAACGUGCCCAGUAGUGGGGGAUAGCCCGGCGAAAGCCGGAUUAAUACCGCAUACGACCUACGGGUGAAAGGGGGGGAUCGCAAGACCUCUCGCUAUUGGAGCGGCCGAUAUCAGAUUAGGUAGUUGGUGGGGUAAAGGCCUACCAAGCCUGCGAUCUGUAGUUGGUCUGAGAGGACGACCAGCCACACUGGGACUGAGACACGGCCCAGACUCCUACGGGAGGCAGCAGUGGGGAAUUUUGGACAAUGGGCGCAAGCCUGAUCCAGCAAUGCCGCGUGCAGGAAGAAGGCCUUCGGGUUGUAAACUGCUUUUGUCAGGGAAGAAAUCCUCUAGGCUAAUACCUUGGGGGGAUGACGGUACCUGAAGAAUAAGCACCGGCUAACUACGUGCCAGCAGCCGCCGUAAUAC